AUGCUGGCAGCUGCCGCUGCCGCUUUGCCCUUCUCUACUACCAUUCUGAAGCAAGCUGUAGUCGCACUCAACUUCCCGGAGUUAACCGUCGUAGGAAGCAACAUCGCCACAAACAACCAGGUUUUCAAUCAAUUAACAUCUAUUUAUAUAUUCCAGUUUCCCGGCGCGGCAGCGCGUCGGAGACUCCGAUUUGCGCCGCCGUAG